AGUUUCAUGUGGGUCAUCUAUCUAGACAGAAUGGUUGUUGCCUGGUACUUCUGAAGGAAUUAACAUCUGAUUGAGCUCCAUGUAUGCAGAGAGGACAAGGUGCCCAUCAAAUCAUGGUGUUGCAUUGCAGAACUCUUCCUUGUUCCUUCGUUUGGCUCUUGAUGAGGUGAGAGCUGCAGCGGGGCAUGUAGAGACUCUUGUUUGCAAUAACAUCACUCUGCAGCGCAGUCUGGUGAGGAGGACCAUAAGGCUCUACGUGGCCGUAUGCACUGACACACCAACACCACGAUGUCGAAAUACGGACGGGAAAGACUUCACAUCUGCCUGGGCAAGCUCACAUCGCAGGCGGGAUACAGUAAGCAGCCUGCCAUCCACAAAGCAUCAGUGUAAAGGGACCCAGGCUUCCUGAGGCCCAGAGCUCACACAGCUGCUCCUUCUCUUAUGUGUGUGCUGCGCUGAAGAGAGGCAAUUUGCAGACUGAGGGUCAGCCUGGGGAUCUCCAGGCACUGCAAGGCAGGCAGUCCUCUCGUGUAAGUGUCCCCAGCAAGGUCAGACUAAUGACAAGUCUGUGGGACGACUCAUGCCAGUAGGCACCCACCACUGUGCAAACUCUUGUCUUCAGGAAAUGAAUACUCCUACCUGCCUCAUGUCCUAUUUGCAGAGCUGUGACUACUCACUAUUGCUCAGUCUUGCAGGAAAUCAUUAUCUGCUGGCAACAUUUUACUUCUCUGAAAUUGUCUCUUACAACAAAAUGCGCCCUGCAGUCUUCUCACUAACAUGGGUUUCAGUUGAUGUCAUUGCCUUUCCCUUUUCUUUCAAAGAUUGCAGAGUUACCAGUAGUGCCUGUUCGGAACAAAGCCCUUGGAGCAAAAUAUUAACCCAACUCAUAUACUCAGGAAGAUGUUUGCAUUUCCACUAGCCUACGGACAGCGGGGAGGAUUUUACACAUCUGUAAUGCAUGUGGUCGCCCUGGAUCUUUUCCUCAACUCCCAGCCCAAAUAGCUGGGGUGGGCUGGAUGCUAAGCAGCAUUCAGACUGUGGUGAGCCUCUAACUCUUCUCACUCUCCUAGGCUGCUGCCUUCUCUGCUAGAUGACAGCUCCAAAAGACAAAGCUUUGGCUAAGCUUGGAUUGUGCACAGGAAGGUAGGAAGUCCAGUUGCUAUCAGAAGACUCAGUUGCUAUCAGUGCUCAAGAAGGGCAAUUAAUGUGAAACUAUUUUUCUUGAGCCGCCUGGUAGGCCCCCAUUUCAUCUUUGUUCAGGAAAGCACUUAAGCAUGUGCUUAAAAUUAAGUGUGCUGCUGACUGGAGGCCUUGGACAAUAAAUAAGCUACUGGAAAAAUAUCUGGACCAUACAUUUGUCUGCCUAAAAGCCCUGUUAUUUCUUCUUCAUUUCUGAUGUAAAUCACGUCUUUCAAAAGCCACAGUUGUGGUAAAUGUCUGAUUUUGAUAGGCGUUGCGUAUUGCAGCUAUUGCUGAUUUUAAAUAAACUUGUAGAUUCUCAG
rnacentral:lncRNA from 7 species